GGUACCGUAAGAAUAAGCACCGGCUAACUACGUGCCAAGCAGCCGCGGUAAUACGUACGGGUGCAAGCGUUAAUCGGAAUUACUGGGCGUAAAGCGUGCGACAGGCGGUUUAUGUAAGACAGUUGUGAAAUCCCCCGGGCUCAACCUGGGAACUGGCAUCUGUGACUGCAUAGCUAGAGUACGGUAGAGGGGAUGGAAGUUCCGCGUGUAGCAGUGAAAUGCGUAGAUAUGCGGAGGAACACCGAUGGCGAAGGCAAUCCCCCUGGACCUGUACUGACGCUCAUGCACGAAAGCGUGGGGAGCAAACAGGAUUAGAUACCCCUGGUAG
rnacentral:rRNA from 1 species